CAAAUAAAUAGAUGCAUUUAGUAUGCUAAUACACCACCACUGGACAGUAGCCUCAUUCUAAGUUUGAGAAUUACCAUGCCUUUACAGGAAGAGGGCUAUUCUAAUGAAAUUAGUUUGCUAUUGCCUAAGAAAUUUCCUUCUUCCUUCCUGCUCCUCAAACUUCCCUGUCUACAGGUUUUGGUCAAGUCUGACUUCUGUUUGAAGUAGACCUUGAGCUAUGCAAUGGGCAAUUGUGGAUGUGCCUUAACAGGGCUCUGAGCCAUGAUGCCUGAGGCUUAAAUACAUAAAGGAAAAAAUUAGACUUACUUGCUGAACUUCCAAAUCUGAAAACAUCUGAAAAGAAGAGAUUGCCACUGGGGUUGGGGGUAUAGCUAGAGAAAUGAUGGUGUUUUUCUCCAGUAAAAUACAACAUCAAAAUAAAAAUCAGUUGA